GCAAGUCGAACGCACUCUCGUUAGAUUGAAGAAGCUUGCUUCUGAUUGAUAACAUUUGAGUGAGUGGCGGACGGGUGAGUAACACGUGGGUAACCUGCCCUAAAGUGGGGAUAACAUUUGGAAACAGAUGCUAAUACCGCAUAAAACCUAGCACCGCAUGGUGCAAGGUUGAAAGAUGGUUUCGGCUAUCACUUUAGGAUGGACCCGCGGUGCAUUAGUUAGUUGGUGAGGUAGAGGCUCACCAAGACCGUGAUGCAUAGCCGACCUGAGAGGGUAAUCGGCCACACUGGGACUGAGACACGGCCCAGACUCCUACGGGAGGCAGCAGUAGGGAAUCUUCCACAAUGGACGAAAGUCUGAUGGAGCAACGCCGCGUGAGUGAAGAAGGUUUUCGGAUCGUAAAGCUCUGUUGUUGGAGAAGAACGUAUUUGAUAGUAACUGAUCAGGUAGUGACGGUAUCCAACCAGAAAGCCACGGCUAACUACGUG
rnacentral:rRNA from 1 species